GAGGAGUGGACUGUACCAAGUCACGGAAAGCUCCCCUGAGGUGAUGGUGCUCCCGCGUCAGACCUGUCGAGCUGAGGAAACUGGAUCUCCCGCUCCCCAAAGUGCUGGAGAGACCCGUGGUUGCAUGCCUAAGAUAUCUCCUCGGCUGGCAGUCCACUCCUCUGAGAUUUCACAGACUCAGCCAAGCACACAGAUGUGCGGUAAACCCAAACAACGCAGUGACACGGGUGUGGAUCGCAGCAGCAGCAGCAGCAGCCAGGGAAGCCAAAAAGCAUCCACUGACACUUCCUUCAACCCUCGCAAAGGUUACUGAAGCAUUAAAGUCAGAUUAAACAAAUAAUCCCUUUAGCUUGUUGUGGGUCUGCCCCUGAGAUUUCCUUCCAAAUGGAUGUUUCUAAACUACCUCCGCGAGGAGGCUUGAGGAGGUAUCCCGAUUAGAUGCCUGAACCACAUCGACCGACACCUUUCGGUCCAGUGGAGCGGCGCUUGAGCUCCUUUCCAGAUUUGUGACCCUCUUACCCUGCGAUACCAAUGUUUCCAUGACACAACGAUAUCCAAAUGCUCUUGCAGGAGUAAAAUGUUAGUCCACUGUUGCAUGACCAGGACAGAAUCUGUAUUGCUGCUCCUGCCUCAAAGGUUUGACAAGUGGAAAAGGUUGAAUUAACUUAGCCACGUUGUCCCAUUUUUAACAAAUAAAUAGCCCUUAAUGUUCCGGUAACCAGCGCCGUCCUUUAGAAUCCUCCGAUUGUUCUUAAACUGAGUUUACAGGCGCCUACAAACAGCUGCUGGAAAUAAGAUUUCAGAUAUCAUCAUAAUCAUCGGCGCCGCAGCCAUUAUAGUUAUUGAUUUAUUUAAAUACAUUUCAAAAUUAAAAGGCAACUACAGCCAGUAUAGUGCACACAGCGCCAUCUGCUGGUAUUUUGUAUUAUCAGCAAGAAUAAAAUAGUCACAUCCAAAAAGGUUAUUGGGAGUUUCGUAUUUAAAUAGUCUUACAUCUAAUCUGAAAAAUAGUCUGAAAGUUUACUUUUUAAAAUCAGCUGAUGAGAAAACCUAGGGUUCAAACUAGGUGACCACACCCACUUAUGAAACUACAGGCCUGACGUGUCAUUUGUCAUUUAUCAACGUUAUUUCAUGCUAAUUUAUUUCAGCUAUCAAUAAAAACCAUCAGAGGCAGGGUCAGCUUGCGGGCACAGUGGGGAGAGGAAUAUUAUGGGAUGUGGACGGUCUCAGAACUGCAUGGCGCCUCAUUUAUUUGAAAAUGACCAACUACAUACACGAUUUGUUAGUGAAUCAUUCUAAAAUGAACUCAUUUUCAAACUGCAUUCUGUGUGCACUGUAGUCAGUUGUAUAAAAUGCAUGAAAGCAUAAAAUGACCUGUUGGUGAGAAAUUGUGUUAAAUUAAUUUCAUUAUCUUGGCCACAGGCUGAUGAUUGUGGACUUAUUAUUGAAUUGUUUCUGUUAAAAUACUCCAGAAUGGCACAUGCACACACUGACAUAAUGAUAAAACGUUGAUUUCCUAAUGAUCAUUACACUGGGAAUAAAGGACAAUCGGGGACUAAAUCUAAAUCCUGUAAUUAAAAUAUAGCUGAAACACAAAUGGCUGCACACUCCAUCUGCAGUACACAAAUAAAAACAUGUGCGUUAAAGUCAGUCGAUCAUGGACAACGUUUCAUGUCAAACUCUCAGGUAAGAAGCUUGAAGCACUUUCACAGCACUUCAAUGUCACGUCAUCGCAGGGAUAUUUGUAUAUUCUGUAUUUUGAAUGAAUGGGAAAAUCCAGGUCGACUUAAUGUGUGAAUAUAAAUGUGUGUCGCCAGCGUACAGCCUACAGCAUCCUAGAAUAAUCUCUAAUUAUACCACAAUGCACAGGUUAGGUAGUUUAGAAAUGGUUGGGGGGUGUUUUUCUUCGGUAUUAUGUCUCAUUAUGGCUAAUAUUAGCUCAGGAAUGAUGGGAGUGAAUAGUAACCUAAACCCUGUGUGUGUACAUUCAGUGUGUGUUUAUAAAUCUCUGUCUGAGUGUGAUCCACAUAAUAUUUGUGUCUAAACAAUAUUACAAAUGAUGCAUAAACUCUGAAAGUUCAGCAGCGCCAAGGUCAACAAGUCACGCCCAUCAUUGAAACGACAUUAUGUUGAAGACGUUGUCACAGCGAAGAGUGAAAAACGUCGUCAGCCGUCUCGAACAAUCAUUCAAACGUUUAAAUGUGGCGCAGCAGAUGUUACAACGAGCACAGUCUUGGCAUUCAGACGACCGUCGGACGUCAGGACGGACGACAAAUUGUGGGCUUUGACAAAAGGUCAGGGGGUUUAAGGGGCUUUUUAUUACAUUAUUAAACCUCAGCCGGAAAAAUAAAAAACACACAAUACUCGGGCGUUUUGGACAGAGUGUGAUCAGCAAGGCAUCUUUGAAUGAUGAGAUUCCGCUCGAUGUGAGUGUGAGAUUAACAGGAUUUACUUUGACUGAUGUCUUGAUCUCCCUCGCUCUCAUUUCUCGUGUGUCUGACACUUUUCCCUUCAACUGUAGAAGUAACUCACAAAAAUAAUGAUAGAUUAAAUACUCUGAUUAUAUAUAUAUAUAUAUAUAUGUGUGUGUACA